GUGACUUCACAUCAUUUGUACAACACAUUUUAGCAUAUAACCUCCGGUUAUUAUAUAUAUAUAUAUAGUUCUACUUUGUGAGCUGUUAUAGGUUUUAAAGUGUAUUUUGAAUAUGAAUCAGUGCAGCCUCCUAUAUGUUCUUGUUAGACUUUAGAAUAGGCCAUGCACACUGCUUUAAGUUAUUUGCCAUUGAAUAAACAUUUAAUAGACUUUUCAAAUAAUGUCACUUUGUUAACUUGUGAGUAUCUCAACAUACAUCAUAACUAUAAUUUCUAAAUGCAGUCUUUUUUUCAAUCUGAAUUCCAGGUGACACACAAUCAGGCUCCUGCUGUGGCAGUGGACACGGAGACGCCUUUAGACUGGACUAGCUAUGAUGGAUGUGACCCAAAUAGAGCUACAGUCAGGUGACACACAAUCAGGCUCCUGCUGUGGCAGUGGACACGGAGACGCCUUUAGACUGGACUAGCUAUGAUGGAUGUGACCCAAAUAGAGCUACAGUCAGUGACACACAAUCAGGCUCCUGCUGUGGCAGUGGACACGGAGACGCCUUUAGACUGGACUACCUCUGAUGGAUGUGACCCAAAUAGAGCUACAGUCAGGUGACACACAAUCAGGCUCCUGCUGUGGCAGUGGACACGGAGACGCCUUUAGACUGGACUAGCUAUGAUGGAUGUGACCCAAAUAGAGCUACAGUCAGGUGACCAACAAUCAGGCUGCUGCUGUCGCAGUGGACAACUCUUCAGAUAUGACUUCCUUGGUGAAUGUCUCUCAAAUGCAGCUACAGACCAGGUGACCAACAAUCAGGCUCCUGCUGUCGCAGUGGACAACUCUUCAGUUAUGACUUCCCUUGGUGAAUGUCUCUCAAAUGCAGCUACAGACCAGGUGGUCAACAAUCAGGCUCUGCUGUCGCAGUGGACAACUCUUCAGAUAUGACUUCCUUGCGAAUGUCUCUCAAAUGCAGCUACAGACCAGAGAAACCCACUGCUGUAAAAAGAAACUGGAGACCACAGGAGUGUGCAGCUGUUGAACGACAUUCAAGGAGAUUUAUUGUACUUAACAAAGUUCCUGGGAAAAUGGACUGUCAGCGCUGCAUUUCAGCCGAGCCUCAAGCCCUGAGUGACAGAGACUGGAGAGCAGUCAAGUAUUUCAUUAAAAAUAGAAUAACAUCUCUGAAAAACAAAAUGUUGUAAAAAGUGAAAAGUAGACUAAUGUUGAUAUUUUCUUUGAGGAAAUCCUAUUAAAGUUGUGGGUGGCACUUUAUAAUAAGUACACACUAUUUAACAUUAUUAAAGCAUGAAUACACA